AGUGGUGAGGAGUGGGCCACUAUGGCAAUGAGAGCAGCAGCUGUGAAAACAGUCAUUCAAUGAUGUCAGAGCAGCAUAGGGACUCUGGGCUGCAAGGCUACUUUGAAGUAUUUAACGGGAGUGCUGAGCUGUGACUCACACGCAAAUAAGUGAAAUGCCAACAUGACUAGCGUGCAAGUCCAGAGGGGUGAAAAAAAGGCUGGGAGAGAACUCGAGCGGGAGUGAAGGAAACUAUUUCCAGGACAGAAGAAAGAAUGACUAAAGUGAGGAGGGAACGAUAAAGCAAAGUUGACCAAAACAUCCCGAAGAGCAUAUGUAGCCCCACCCACGAGCCCUCCUUCACACCAGAUUACCUGGGCACGACUGGAACCAGCUGGCUUCCGAUCAAGUUUGUCAGAGAAGGCAGAGAAACAAUGAGGAUGCAUUCCGCACCGAGGAGUUAUCGGCCAGCUCAAUGCCUGCGGAUGUUCCUCUUCAACUACAACAAGACGACAAGAGGAGCCGCUGAGGGUGCCCACGUUGCCAUCCAAAGAACAGUUACUAUAAAAUGACAAAAUAAUACAACACAACACAUAAGACACAGACAGGCGUUCAAUCAUAACCACUUUUCCUGCUUACACUUUGUUGUUUGAAGCAGUUAUAGAUGAAAGAGGAGCGAAUCAAAGUGUCAUUUUCACCAGUGGAUCAAACAUGUCAUGCUGAAAAUGGGCACACGUCUGCAACAAGCUAAGUUUGAAAGCAACAAGAAGCUGUAGCUUCCAUUAACGAAAACGAGAUUGGCUCUCAUCUCCUGUCUCAUGUAAAUCGGCUUCAAUUCCAAGCAAGCCGCGACUCACAGU